UACGAAGGGUGCUAGCGUUGUUCGGAAUCAUUGGGCGUAAAGCGCGUGUAGGCGGUUAAUUAAGUCAGUUGUGAAAUCCCUUGGCUCAACCAAGGAAGUGCAUCUGAAACUAAUUAGCUAGAAGAUGGUAGAGGAAGGUGGAAUUCCAAGUGUAGAGGUGAAAUUCGUAGAUAUUUGGAGGAAUACCUGAGGCGAAGGCGGCCUUCUGGGCCAUUCUUGACGCUGAGACGCGAAAGCGUGGGUAGCAAACAGG
rnacentral:rRNA from 1 species